GCUGGGCAUGGUGGUGUGUGCCUAUAGUCCUAGCUACUUGGGAGGCUGAGGCAGGAGAAUCGCUUGAACCCAGGAGGUGGAGGUUGCAGUGAGCCGAGAUCAUGCCACUGCACUCCAGCCUGGGUGACAGAGUGAGACUCUGUCUCAA
rnacentral:SRP_RNA from 1 species